GGCGGCACGCUUAACACAUGCAAGUCGAGCGGCAGCGCGAGUAGUAGCAAUACUACUUGGCGGCGAGCGGCGGACGGGUGAGUAAUCCGUAGGAACCUGCCCGAGAGAGGGGGACAACCAAGGGAAACUUUGGCUAAUACCGCAUAAACUCGGAAGAGAAAAGUUGCCCCGCAAGGGGUGAUGCUUUUGGAGGGGCCUGCGUCCGAUUAGCUAGUUGGUAGGGUAAGAGCCUACCAAGGCGAAGAUCGGUAACUGGUCUGAGAGGACGACCAGUCACACUGGGACUGAGACACGGCCCAGACUCCUACGGGAGGCAGCAGUGGGGAAUCUUGGACAAUGGGGGCAACCCUGAUCCAGCGAUGCCGCGUGGGUGAAGAAGGCCUUCGGGUUGUAAAGCCCUUUAGGUUGGGAAGAAGUGUGGUAGAUGAUAAGUUUAUUACAUUGACGGUACCAACAGAAUAAGCACCGGCAAACUCUGUGCCAGCAGCCGCGGUAAUACAGA
rnacentral:rRNA from 1 species